rnacentral:rRNA from 1 species
AGCGAACGCUGGCGGCAGGCUUAACACAUGCAAGUCGAGCGGGCACCUUUCGGGGUGUCCGCGGCGGACGGGUGAGUAACGCGUGGGAACGUGCCCUCUGGUUCGGAAUAACUCAGGGAAACUUGAGCUAAUACCGGAUACGCCCUUUUGGGGAAAGGCUUGCUGCCGGAGGAUCGGCCCGCGUCUGAUUAGCUAGUUGGUGAGGUAACGGCUCACCAAGGCGACGAUCAGUAGCUGGUCUGAGAGGAUGAUCAGCCACACUGGGACUGAGACACGGCCCAGACUCCUACGGGAGGCAGCAGUGGGGAAUAUUGGACAAUGGGCGCAAGCCUGAUCCAGCCAUGCCGCGGGAGUGAUGAAGGCCUUAGGGUGGUAAAGCUCUUUUAUCCGGGACGAUAAGGACGGGACCGGAGGAAUAAGCCCCGGCGAACUGCGU